rnacentral:tRNA from 1 species
UCCCUUGUAGCUCAGCGGUAGAGCAGCUGACUGUUAAUCAGUGUGUCGCAAGUUCGAUCCUUGCCUGGGGAG